GUGUAUUCUACAGUGCACGUGUCUCCAGUGUGGCUCCGAGGCUGGAGACGCGGUCCUGUUGGAGUAAC
rnacentral:pre_miRNA from 1 species